AAUGAAUUAGUUAUGAACAUGGGUUAUUACUCAGUGCUGUCAACUGAUGAGGUUCAGAAUGCUUUUUAUUAUAUUUUACUAUAUCUACACUAAUGUUUUUUGAAGUAUAGUCCAGAGACCAUCUGCAAGAGAAUUCCCUGAGACUCAUUGAAAACUGAAACUCCCAGGCUUUACUCCAGCCCUAGUAAAUCCUUUUUUUCUAGGAGUGGGUAUAGGAAGAUGCAUUUCUAACUACUUAUGCACAUUAACAUUUGAGGGCCCUUAUUCAGGGAUAGCUUGCUGUCACUUCUUAAGGUUUCAGCUUCUGGCGGCUCUCCAUAUGCUAUAUACUAAGAAGAAACCAAAUGAACAUAACCAGUUAUGGCAAAUUUAAUGUUUUAAAAAACUUCAAAGGUUUUCUUGGGCCUGAAGAUGGCCUCACGUCCUUUCUGGGAGCAAAACCCAAGGGUAAUUAUGUUUUUAAGAAGGCUUUGUUUUACUGACAUCUGUCUUCCUGGCCAAGUUCUGGACAGUGUUAUACCAAAGAUUUCAAAUGUUAAACCAGUUUCUAUUAGUAGGCAGAAUAGUAGAGAAUACAUCCUAAGUAAAUACCAUUUUAAAUUUAUAUUUGAACUCCCAAAAUUCUAAGUGAUACAGCUAGACACAUCUAAAGGCAAAUGGUAUGGAUUGUGUCUUUUGUUAAGUUCUACAAAACAUCAAAUGUUUUAUGAUUAUUUAUCAACUGUAAAACAAUAAGCUGCUGGUAACAUUCUACCUAUUUUAAUGUUGAUUCUGGAGAACUUGAUUUUUAAAAAUUGUUUACUUCAUCAAUGGUUUAUUUGACACUUUGCUAGCUCCUGGGGAGGUAAGCAGGAUGUACUGACAUUUAUAGUUUCUGGUAGAUUAAUGCCAUCAUAUUGAAAUUAACAGUCUGAGAAACUGCCUAUUCAUCAUGUCUGAAGAAAAGCAGCAAAAUUUCCCCCAAGUAAUUAUAAAACAUAAAUGCUCAAAGAAAAUUAUAUGCCUAGGAAGUGGUAAUGCAUCUGUGGACCAUUAAUGUCUGUACAGUGUGUAUGCUUGUGAGUCAGUGUCUGUACAAGUAAAGGUGAGAAAAAAACCUAUUAGUUUACUGCCCAUUUUCUAAUGAGAACAUUUCUGCCUUAGACAAUUGCUCAUUUGUCAACUGAUACAUAAAUCACUGUGGAGGUGCAGGGAUAUGUAAAUUAGUGCAUGUAGAAACUCCAAGGACGGCAAUGAUGUCAUACUUAGGGAAAAAAGGUAUAGGAUUUAGUUUUUUUUCAAAUUUGCACUUGGGUCUGUAUAUCAGCUUAAGUUCUUUCGAACUGCUCCUGCCAAUAGCUCCGUUUUAGUUUCUUCCAUAAUGGGAAGAAGACGAGGCCCUUCUGCAGUACUACCCACUGUCCCAGGCCCUGGAGUGGACUGGAGGGCUCACCAGCACUGUGGGCCUGAUGUGCAAAGGACCCCUCCCUUACUGUGCUUCCCUGCUCAGCCUCAGGGCAGUUAUCACAGUUUCCUUAGGCAGCAUUUGGAGUUUGCGAAGCUAAAUUCCUUAGCGGGUAUUUGGUAGCCUCUAUAUCACGGGGGAGAAAGGGAAAGAUGACAACUUCAGCCUUAAGUCACUUCCAUAGGUACUACAGGCAUUGACUGACAAGCAGGGAGGAGUUCCUGGUCAAAUAACUCCAUAAAACAAAGGGUUAAAUAACAGGCCUCCUUACCCUUUAAAAUGCUAAUAAGCACUAGAAGCCUCCCUCUGACUGACCAGUUACUGAGAAACACUGCCCAGUUCCACUGACAAGGUGGUUUGGUUUAACCCUUCUCUUACCAGAGAAACAGAAUUAUAUUACACUGUCUCUGAACUCCAUUACAUCAUUCUAUUUAGUGAUUCUUUGUUUCACGUUUUACUUCUCUCUGACUUAUUCCUGUCACCAUUUAGACGGCUUGGUAACUUGACAAGAGGGGCGGUUUUCCUGUUCCUUGUGCUAUCUGACACUGCAGGCAACAGAAACAGUGAGUAGUUACAAAAUAUAUGCUGCCUGUGUUGACUAAUGAGCCUCUACCUAUGAAGCAAAUAAGCAAGUGUGGAUGUUUGAAGAGUCUGUAAUAAUUAUUUUCUUUCUCUAAUUAUCUGGGAAAGCCAAAGUUCACAGUAACUGCUAAACUACAAGUACAACAAAAGCUUAAGUCCACAUUUUAAUCUGAGUCCAAGAAGUGACUCGGGUAGAGAGAGGGAAUCUUCGUACUUAUUUGUUCAACAGAUGUACAUUAUGUGCUGACCUGUUCUAAAGGAUGGACAUAGAGAAGCAAACAAAAACAGAGUCCUUGCUCUUAUGAUGCUUAUAUUCUAGUAGGAAGAGCCAAACCAUAAACAGACUAACACACAAUAUGUCAGGUGUUAGGCACUAUGAAGGGAAAUAAAGAAGGGAAAGGAGGAUCCAGGGGGGUGGGAAAUGGUGGUGAUUUACAAAUGAUAUUCAGGGAAGUUUAAUAGAGUGACAUUUAAUAUCUACGUCUAAUAAGGUGACAUGUAAGGAGAGACUUGAAGUGUGAGAGAGCAAACCAUGUGGCUACUGAGAAAAGAACAUGCCAGCAGAGGGAUUUAAAAUGCAAAGGCCCUGAGUUUGCAAUGUACUUGGCACAUCUGAGGAACAGAAGAAUAAACAGAAGCCAGUGUGGCAGAGUGCGUGAUAAGAACAGCAGCUGAGGUCAGAGAUGUAUCCAGGAACAUGACUACAUAGAACUUCAGAGGCCCAAUAUUGUAUUUUGAGUAAGUUGCAGAGUUUUGAGUAAAGGACUGACAUACGCCUCACAUUUUAAAAGCAUCACUCUGGCUACCACACAGAGUUUAAAUUGUAGCAGAGCACAGGUGGAAUCAGAGAGGCAGGAGGCUACUGCAGAGGACUAGGGAAAAGAUGACGGCGGCUGGCACUAAAGCAGGACAAGUAAGAAGUGAGAGCUGCCAAGACAUGAUUUGCUAUAGGAUGCUUGAUGGCAGAUGUGAGAGAAAGAGAAAAGGUUUUACUCUGAAUAACUGGAAGAAUGAAGCUGUCAUUUACUGAGAUGGGGACAAGCAGGAGAGCAGAUUUAGGGAGAGUUCAAUCUAGUUUUUGUCAUGUUCAGUUUGAGAGGUCUAUUAGAUUUUUAAGCAAGGAUGUUGAGAAGGUAGUUGUAUACAUAUACAGUUCAGGGGAGAAGUCUGGGCUGGAGAUUUAAAUUUGGGAGUCACAAGCACAGAAAUAGGCACUUAUGGUAAUAAGACUGGACGCUAUGACCAAGGGGUCAUGUAGAUAUGGCGAAGAUGCCCUAGAAUAAGCUCUGAGAGGAGACUGAUAGGAGAGUCACCUUUCUCAAGAAAGGAAGUUGUUCCAGAAACCAAAUGAAGAAAGAGUUUCAAGGAAGAAUAAAUGCUCAAAUAUGUCAAAUCUCCCAAUGAUCAUGUUUGGCACUGUACAGGACAUUUGCAACACAGACAAGAAUAUUUUUGGUGGAGCAGCAAGGAUGAAAGUCUGACUGCUACAGUAUGGAAUGGAAGGUGAUGAAGUGACGGCAUCUUUUAAGGAAUUUUACUGUAAGGGGGAGAGGACAUGUCAGCAGGACAUUUUUUCAUGUCACAUUUAAAUGCUUAAGUGAGAGACUCUUUAAAAAUUACCCAUUGCUACAUCAAGGAAGCUCUACUACUCAUAGGAGUUGAUCAUUUUCUUCAGGUAUGCUGGCAGUGGGAUAAAAAGAAAUAUUUCUAAACUUCUCUAUUAGUUCUAAGUUCCCUGAAGAUUCUGUCUUCUAUGUAAGUAGUUGUAUUAUUAGCAUAUUAUAAUUUUAUGUUUGCUUUCUAUAUUUCAAAAUGUUUAAUUUUUAGUGCACUGAUGGCAUUUUUUUCUGCAAUGAUAUGAACUUGUUCACUUAAACUAUACAACCUGCCAACUAAAAAUAAUAUUUUAAACCUUAAUUUCUUGAUUUUAUCAGGUACUGUUACUGCCAGCCCACAGUCAUAUAUUUUCUUCUUCCUUGCUGACAGAGUAGGAUUUUGUUCAGCGGACUAUCUCAAAUCACACAUCUCAAGGGAUAAUCUAUGAGUAUGCUAGGUCAAUAUCCUUACUAGCCAGACAUGAAAAAAUAUUUUUUUUUGGAGGGGGAUAAUUCCAGUGGGGACAAGAGUCUUCUAGUAAAAGUUUCCUGGCUUUUGAAAAGAGAUGCAAUGGAAAGAGAAAAUCCCUUUUUUUUCUGCUAGCUAGUUUUGUUUGCAUGUGAAAUUUAUAACCAUGGCAGCCAUUUUUCUAGUUGCCAUGGAUUACAGAGAAAAAACAUAGAACUUGGGUCAUUGAUAACAUUCUUGAGCCUCUGAAGUAACUACACCUAAAUCUCUCUCUACUUUGUGUGAUUUCAGAAUUUGAGUCAAAACAUUUUCUUUUUCGCUUCUUCAGAAACUUUAACUGAGACACAGACGAGAUAAGCCCUGACCAGACUUGCUCACAGAAAGCCUUAAGUGGACAUUAACAACUCUGAGCAUCUGCCAUGCAAAAGCCACCAUGGACUAAGUUCUCCACUGCUGAACAGAAGAACUUAGGAUCCAGAACCUAAAAAGUAGGUUUGGGUCAAGUGUCUCAUUAGAUAACAGUUACUAUCUUAUAUGGCAGUAUACACUGGUUUGGGGUACUGACUUAUCUGGGGGCUUAAACGCAUGCCCCAAAUUUUGUAUAUCUCCAACUUGAUAUUUCAUUCUGUUGUGCUACCAAGACCAGCAAACUUUGGAUAUACCUCCAUACUAUUUAAAAGAAGCAAUGAGGAAUCAUGUUUACCUAUUUGCAUGCUUAUUUCAUGUGCAUCCUUUGCAUUGCUACUUUGCUUAUCAGCUGCUUUAUCAGCAAAUGAAAGUAAAAGCAAUUUUUUGUGAACUAUGUGUGACUUACCAUUUCAUUCAUUCACAAACCUGACCUAUGUUGCUGGUCUAGCCUUGCUCACUGAACCUUUAACUUCAGACAGUAUUACUGAACUCUAUCUGGUAAAAUGAGGGGAUCAGUAUACCUACACUUUCCUCUGUUUUUUGGGUUUAGCACUUAUCACUUACUGCUUGCAUUGUUAUUUAACUUUUCAGGUAUGUAUGUUUUGAAUAUGCCAAAGCUGGCUUUAAGUCCUGAAAGUUGCCUGUAUAUUUUAUUCUUUGUAUCUAUCUUCACAGUACCUACUAGCAUAGUCCCCCUAAAUAUAUUUUGUGAAAAAUUAAAUACAGGGGAACCAUUUCUUAUUUUUGUGUUCUCUAUCUAAUGAUGAAUGACAAGUUAUAACAAGUAGUAGUUUCCUUCAACUAAUACUCAGAACAUAUUACUAUUCCCUUUCUUUCUUAAUUCCUCUUUGAGUCUUUGAUUCCACCCCAGCAUUUAAAAAAUUAUUCAUAUCUUUGUUAUUCUACCAUUAAAAAGUUUUUCCCUACCUUAUCUUUCCCUUUCUUUUGCUCCAUUUCAUCAUCUUCCUUUUCUUAAGUGGAAUGGAAGCAAUUUUAUAUUAUUUAUCAUAUUUACUGAAUAUAAUUUCAUAAUAAUAGCAAGUAUUUAUUAAGUGCUACUACACGCCAGGCACUAUGCUAACAGCUUUCCAUGUAUUAUCUCAUCUAGUCACCUGUGAAGUAAAGGAAUUAUUUACUAGACUAUUUUUAUAGAUGAGGAAUCAAAGGCUUUAAAAGGGUGAACAAUUUGAUUAUCAACCUACAUAAGUUAAGGUUAGAACUAGGAAUUGAAACCAGAACUAACUCUUACAACCAUUAUAUCACACUGCCUUUCUAAUAAAAUUUAGCUUCUUCUUUUUUGUCCUUGAAAUAAGGCUUCGGAGAAUUUCUUCAAAUACAUAUUUUUAAAUUCAAAGCAAUAUAUACAGGUAGUUUUUUAAAAAUGCACAAAAAUAACAAGAAGCAGUAACCUACAGCCUCAGUCCUACGUUCUGAGAAAAUACUAACCAUUCACUUUUUUGGUUCUUGAUGGUUAUCUCUGUGUUUGCUGCUUAUACAAUUUUAGAUAUUUAUGUCAUUAUUCCUAUUCAUUGCGCUUCAUAACAGAGAAGAUUUAACUCACUCACAACUCCCAGGACCUCUAACUAUCCUUUCCUCUAUUCUCCUAAUAUAGUAACAUUGUUAGGCUUCAAUCACUCCAACAUCAAACAGCAUAAACUUCAUUUUCUGUUCCAACAAUAAACACUGUCUCCUGAUGUUCUAUUUUAUAAGUUAAGCUAUAUUUCUCUUUUAAAUUUAAUAAUUGUAUGAUGUCCAGCCUAAACAUUUUUUAUCUCAAAAAACAAACUAAACUGCCUUUAGAUUAUAGGUCUCAAAGUACUUUGAUACGAUCCAGCAGUCCUUAAGUGAACACCAGUAUCCCUGAAUUCUUAUCCUAGUAGACCAAGGAUGGUUUUUGGAGACUUUCAUAAAGGUCUGGGACCACUCCUACUUGACACCCUUCUUGUUAGUAA